AUAAUGUUCAACAAUGCUGGAAUUUCAGGCAAACCGGAAGAAAAAAUCUUAGCUACAGAGAAUGAAGAUUUCAAGAAGGUGCUUGAUGUGAAUAUUUUUGGUGCGUUCUUGGGUGCAAAACAUGCUGCUAGAGUAAUGAUCCCAGCCAAGAAAGGGUGCAUACUUUUCACAUCAAGUAUAGUUUCUGUAUGUUGCACGGAUUGUCCAUAUGCAUACAUAGCAUCAAAAUAUGCUGUGGUGGGACUUGCCAAGAAUUUAUGCGUGGAGUUAGGACAGUAUGGG
rnacentral:misc_RNA from 1 species